CUGAACAACAAGAACCCCGUUUCAAACAAGGUGGAGGGUGAGGACCACCCCUGAGGUUGUCCUUUGACCUCUACAGGUGCAUCACCAGACAGAUGACCCUACUCAUACACAGGAGCAUGAACCCACACACCAAAAAAGAAGAAGAAAAAACAGACAACUUGUUCAAAGUCAGAUGUCUCUGGAGUGGCAAGGCCCUGCUAUCUCCUUCCACAUCUGUGACUUGCACUCUGUGCACCACGAUGACCAUGACGAAGUUCACUGAGCACAGCUGGGUUCCCUGGAGUCUGGAAAGUGAUGCCAUUUGCUUCCUCUGCUCUGCCCUCCAUUCCCUGUGGCACCCCGUGACACCCACUGACCCAGGCUCUGCCUUCCCACUGCGCUGCACUCAGUAUUUUAGAAAAUACAUCCUUUCUUCCAACUCUGAAACAAUUCUGCAAGCCUUUGAGGAACUCGGUGGAGCAGAGACAUUGAGCCACAAGCUUCUGACGCAGCCUGGUUCCGUGGGUCUCUCUGGAUGAGCAUCCUUGAUGGGUAGCACUUUGCUUAUUCUUUGGAAUCUGACCAUUCUUGUCACACAGCCAGACCAGAGCUCAAAGGUGAGAGCCCUGCAUAUUUGGAAAAAUACUGACCUAUGUUCCUCAAUUAACUGUUCCAAGGAAAAGUUUUUACAUACUUAUGGCAGAGCUUGCAGCUGCCAUUCAAAAUGACGGCCCAUCCAGAUACCAGAUCACUGGCAAAUAAGAGAGGGGGCAGCGAAUCUCAUCAAGGAAUGGACUUGGAGUGGUGCAAAAGCUGGCAAGGUCCCAGCCACUUGUGAGCACGACUUUGCUGGUAGAAGCGCAGAAAGCAGGCGAGCUGCCACCGGUCUGAAGCACAGUACGGAAUGACCCUGCUUCUGUCUCUGCUGCUGUGUUCUGACACUGUGAGCUACUUAGAGGAGAAAGGGUCUACUUCGGCUCGGUUCCUGGUCUCUGGGAACUCACAGCACAUCCACAGCCAAGAAGAGCAGAGAGAAAUGAAUGCACACGUCCCUGGGAACUCACAGCACAUCCACAGCCAAGAAGAGCAGAGAGAAAUGAAUGCACACGUGCUGACUGCUGGCCUAGCUUUCUCUGCCCUUCCACAGUCCAGGGUCCUACACUGGGAACUGUGCUGCCCACAGUUAACAUCAUUAAUUUAAGACAACCACCUUCCCCAAACAUGUCUGCAGGCCUACUCUGAACCAAUCUCCCACUGAGAAUGUCUUCCCAGGUGAUUCUAGAUCAUGCCAAAUUGACAAUUUAACAAAGCAUUACAAUAGCUGCAAUCUAUUUUACACAAAUUAAAUGGCACAGAUCUUCACUGCUCAAUGUAACCUCUAUUUAACCCAUGAGGUGGUUACUAGGUACAUGGACCGUGCAGCCCGGCCUUAAUCUUUGUGUGAAUGGCACUGCAUUAUGGACGCACUUUUGUUUCUUACUUCUCUUGCCCAACAUCGUGUCUCGUGAAAUGAUCCAUGCUCUGUUUAUCAGCAGUUUGUCCUUUUAAAAACCUGGGCAGUGUUCCAUUGUGUAAACAUACAGUGAUUUGUUUGUUCCUGUACUUGUUGAUGGACGUUUGGAUUGUUUCUUGUUUGGCUUAUUAUAUACACAUCAACUAUGAACAUUUGAUGCAAGGUCUUUGUGGAUAUAUAUCUUAGUUUCUGUUGAAUAAAUAUUUGGAGGAGGA